UGGCAGCCUUGUGUAUCUACAUGCCCGUGGGUUUUAAGUAAGGCACAGAGUCAUUUGAAUAGAGAGUGUCACAGGUGUAUUCUCUUAGCCUUUCUGAAGUACCUGCUGAUUUAAGUGCCCCAUAUACCUUUACUCUAAUCAAAACAACUGAUAGAUUCAUCAAAAGAGAUUAUAUAAAUGUUCUACCAGACUAUUGUAGAAAGAAAUCUGGGUCACACUGAGGCUUACAUUUAGCUACUGAGGCCAAAAGGCACCUGUAACAUGAAAGGUGUUAUCAGGAUUGGAGUCAGGAGAAUAGGAUUAUUGCUUUGGGUCUCGACACGCAAAAAAGCCACAUGAUGCUGUCACUGGUAAUUUAUUUCCCAUUCCUGGAAUUUUAGUUCUCUCAUCUGGAAAGUCUAGAAAUGAAAUGACACUUCAUGGUCUCUCCCACCUCUAAACUCUCUGAUUCUGAAUAUGAAUUAAAAUUCAUUAAAUGCUGCCACCGACGCAAGGGCCCACACAGAGCCAUUUGCUGGUGUCUGGUUUUUCUCUAAGCCUAUUCCCCCACCCCCAUCUCUACAACUUAGCUCUUUCUAGAACACAGGGGCUCUGGACCCCUUCUGGUAUUUCUUUUCUGAGCAAAAUUUCUUAGAGAUAUAGAGGAAGGACAUUUUCAUAUUAAAGUGAGGGCAUCAAAAUAGCUGAGAUGGCUUUCUUGUUCGUAAUAUUGGGAAAUGUAACAGUUGAACGGUCGCCUAAUAGUCUUUCAUAGGAAGGAAAAUGGCCAGAUUGGACAUUAUGGACGUAAUAAAUGAGGAAGUUGCGAAUGUGAGAGGAAACAUCAGCUUUCUCUUAUUCUUGGCCAAGUGCUUCAUUACGGUAAAUGCGUGUCACUGGGCGUUCUCGGCUGGUCCCAAGCAAGUUCAAAAAGGCUGUUUUGUGAGAAACAGGCAAGGGAAGGGGUUUCUUACAGAAGUUUCUUGAAACUUGACUAAGAAAUAGGCUGUGAAAUUGACCAAGUACUUAGAGAGAGGCCUCUUUUUUUUUUUUUUUAACAGAUUGAAUUAGUUCAGUUUAAAAGCAGCUAUGAGUGAAACAGGACACAAAAGCCUAUCGGGGAGGCAAGGUUGAAAGAGAGUGAGAGUUGUAAAAGCUAAAACCUAAUGUGAAAGUUAAGUUUCCAGAAAGUGGGGUCAAACAAGAAGAGUUGCCGGAGCGGUAAACAAGGGAUUGUUCUGUUGGGCCACGUACUGAGCAGACAGCGUAGGUCCCACUUCUUCAUCCCAUUCUGUCUUCAACAUUCAGCUUAACACCUUGUCCGGUCACCUUUUUCAUGCAUCUCCCCAAAGAGCACAAGGAAUAGGGCUCUCCUGGACACCGAAGAGCAGAGUUCACUCAUUCAUCACCUCCAGAUUUAGGAUCACUGUUUAGAUGAGGAUAUGCAGUGUGUUCACAAUACCCUGGACACUGUAGUUGGGAGAGAGACCCGCCCACUAAACAACUCCCCAAUCUCAUCCAUCUUCCCUAGGCACAGCGCUUUGGAUGGUGCUUCUGAGUCCACCCUACGGCUACAUUCUUCCCAGCACAAAACCUCCCUGUGUAAUAACUAGGCACGGUAAAAAAAAAAAAUCUGCUUCUUGCAAAUGAAAAAACCCAUGGAGCUAGCUUCCUGGCGUACCACAGAACCCCUCGCCGUCAGUCAGAAGCCUCUUUUGAACUCCCUUACCUAAGUCAUUGCUCUUCACCAGAACACGAUUAUGGUUUGUUCUGGUGAACGUUGACCACCUUCUGCUCCAUAAGUAUUUGCUGGGAGGGGGGAGGCUAAAGGGAGGAAAUAAAAGGGGGAGGGAAGGAUACCUCCCACUUCUCCCCACCCCUGCUUCACCCGUCCCCUUCCAUUCGCUCUCCUGAAGGUUGUAUAAAUCCUGUUCUUGGUUAAACGUCUCCUCAUUAACAGUGUUAUAUACAUAUAAAUAUAUAUAUAAAAUAUAUUCCUUUUUCCAGCCCUGUAGACAUGAACUGAUCUUCCCUUGAUGAUAUAAAAACAUGGCCAUUUUUUGGUUCGAUUGUUUUGCCGCUCAAGUUCCUUUAUUUUUGUUUAUUGGGUGGAUAUUUUUCCCUGAAUACUAGCUCUGUGAAGGAAAAGUUUAAAAAACAAAAAAACAAAAACAAAACAAAACAAAACAAAAAAAAAACCGCGAUGUGUGUAAAAAAAUUAAGAUGAAAGAAAAGCCUCUUUUUUUUCCAUUUUAAAUGUAUUUAAAUUCUGGUUCUCUCUUCUGUUACUUUACACGUAU
rnacentral:lncRNA from 1 species